AAACAUUUCACUACUUUUACUACUUUUAGUAUUUUUUUAUAUCUUAUUUCACAUUUCUACUUUCACUCUGGUCCUUUCCUCCACCGUACAUCUGUGUGUCUGUGUCCACCGUACAUCUGUGUGUCUGUGUCCACCGUACAUCUGUGUGUCUGUGUCCACCGUACAUCUGUGUGUCUGUGUCCACCAUACAUCUGUGUGUCUGUGUCCACGUACAUCUGUGUGUCUGUGUCCACCGUACAUCUGUGUGUCUGUGUCCACCGUACAUCUGUGUCUGUGUCCACGUACAUCUGUGUGUCUGUGUCCACCGUACAUCUGUGUCUGUGUCCACGUACAUCUGUGUGUCUGUGUCCACCGUACAUCUGUGUGUCUGUGUCCACGUACAUCUGUGUGUCUGUGUCCACCGUACAUCUGUGUGUCUGUGUCCACCGUACAUCUGUGUGUCUGUGUCCACUUUACAUCUGUGUGUCUGUGUCCACUGUACAUCUGUGUGUCUGUGUCCACUUUACAUCUGUGUCUGUGUCCACUGUACAUCUGUGUGUCUGUGUCCACUUUACAUCUGUGUGUCUGUGUCCACUGUACAUCUGUGUGUCUGUGUCCACGUACAUCUGUGUGUCUGUGUCCACUUUACAUCUGUGUGUCUGUGUCCACUGUACAUCUGUGUGUCUGUGUCCACUUAACAUCUGUGUGUCUGUGUCCACUGUACAUCUGUGUGUCUGUGUCCACCGUACAUCUGUGUGUCUGUGUCCACGUUACAUCUGUGUGUCUGUGUCCACCGUACAUCUGUGUGUCUGUGUCCACGUUACAUCUGUGUGUCUGUGUCCACGUACAUCUGUGUGUCUGUGUCCACCGUACAUCUGUGUGUCUGUGUCCACCGUACAUCUGUGUGUCUGUGUCCACGUACAUCUGUGUGUCUGUGUCCACCGUACAUCUGUGUGUCUGUGUCCACGUACAUCUGUGUGUCUGUGUCCACGUUACAUCUGUGUGUCUGUGUCCAUGUUACAUCUGUGUGUCUGUGUCCACUGUACAUCUGUGUGUCUGUGUCCACUGUACAUCUGUGUGUCUGUGUCCACUGUACAUCUGUGUGUCUGUGUCCACCGUACAUCUGUGUGUCUGUGUCCUCCACAUGUGACGCCAGCCGAGCUGAAACUGAUCACAUCUGGGUUCGAUUUGGACGGGAAACACCCCGCUACUCCCAGCAGACCCUCUGAGAGAGUGUGUGUGUGUGUGUGUGUGUGUGUGUGUGUGUGUGUGUGCUCGAGUUCACUAUAA
rnacentral:lncRNA from 15 species